rnacentral:rRNA from 1 species
GGUGAASAAGUAUUUCGGUAUGUAAAGCUCUAUCAGCAGGGAAGAAAGGCUCUAAGGAGAGAUGACGGUACCUGACUAARAAGCCCCGGCUAACUACGUGCCAGCAGCCGCGGUAAUACGUAGGGGGCAAGCGUUAUCCGGAUUUACUGGGUGUAAAGGGAGCGCAGACGGUCAAGCMAGUCUGGAGUGAAACCCCACGGCUCAACCGUGGGCUUGCUUUGGAAACUGUUUGACUAGAGUACUGGAGAGGUAAGCGGAAUUCCUAKUGUAGCGGUGAAAUGCGUAGAUAUUASGAGGAACAUCGGUGGCGAAGGCGGCUUACUGGACAGCAACUGACGUUGAGGCUCGAAGGCGUGGGGAGCAAACAGGAUUAKAUACCCUGGUAGUCCACGCGGUAAACGAUGAAUAYUAGGUGUUGG